rnacentral:rRNA from 1 species
GGGUUGUGAGGUUAAGCGACUAAGCGUACACGGUGGAUGCCCUGGCAGUCAGAGGCGAUGAAGGACGUGCUAAUCUGCGAUAAGCGCCGGUAAGGUGAUAUGAACCGUUAUAACCGGCGAUUUCCGAAUGGGGAAACCCAGUGUGACUCGUCACACUAUCAUUAACUGAAUCCAUAGGUUAAUGAGGCGAACCGGGGGAACUGAAACAUCUAAGUACCCCGAGGAAAAGAAAUCAACCGAGAUUCCCCCAGUAGCGGCGAGCGAACGGGGAGGAGCCCAGAGCCUGAAUCAGCAUGUGUGUUAGUGGAAGCGUCUGGAAAGGCGCGCGAUACAGGGUGACAGCCCCGUACACAAAAGCGCAUAUGCUGUGAGCUCGAUGAGUAGGGCGGGACACGUGGUAUCCUGUCUGAAUAUGGGGGGACCAUCCUCCAAGGCUAAAUACUCCUGACUGACCGAUAGUGAACCAGUACCGUGAGGGAAAGGCGAAAAGAACCCCGGCGAGGGGAGUGAAAAAGAACCUGAAACCGUGUACGUACAAGCAGUGGGAGCCCCACCACUAAGCCAGUGGUGAACUCCACAUACGCAUCCUUUGCUGAGGAUACGGUUAACGGAGCGAAAGCGACGUUCAACCGCAAAAGAAGCAGAGGGGGCUUAGUGGUGGGGUGACUGCGUACCUUUUGUAUAAUGGGUCAGCGACUUAUAUUCUGUAGCAAGGUUAACCGAAUAGGGGAGCCGGAGGGAAACCGAGUCUUAACCGGGCGUUAAGUUGCAGGGUAUAGACCCGAAACCCGGUGAUCUAGCCAUGGGCAGGUUGAAGGUUGGGUAACACUAACUGGAGGACCGAACCGACUAAUGUUGAAAAAUUAGCGGAUGACCUGUGGCUGGGGGUGAAAGGCCAAUCAAACCGGGAGAUAGCUGGUUCUCCCCGAAAGCUAUUUAGGUAGCGCCUCGUGAAUUCAUCUCCGGGGGUAGAGCACUGUUUCGGCUAGGGGGCCAUCCCGGCUUACCAACCCGAUGCAAACUGCGAAUACCGGAGAAUGUUAUCACGGGAGACACACGGCGGGUGCUAACGUCCGUCGUGAAGAGGGAAACAACCCAGACCGCCAGCUAAGGUCCCAAAGUCAUGGUUAAGUGGGAAACGAUGUGGGAAGGCCCAGACAGCCAGGAUGUUGGCUUAGAAGCAGCCAUCAUUUAAAGAAAGCGUAAUAGCUCACUGGUCGAGUCGGCCUGCGCGGAAGAUGUAACGGGGCUAAACCAUGCACCGAAGCUGCGGCAGCGAC